rnacentral:rRNA from 1 species
UACAGAGGGUGCGAGCGUUACUCGGAAUUACUGGGCGUAAAGCGUGCGUAGACGGUUAUUUAAGUCGGGCGUGAAAGCCCCGGGCUCAACCUGGGAAUUGCAUUCGAGACUGAAUAGCUAGGGUACGGUAGAGGGAAGUGGAAUUUCCGGUGUAGCGGUGAAAUGCGUAGAUAUCGGAAGGAACAUCAGUGGCGAAAGCGACUUCCUGGACCAGUACCGACGUUCAGGCACGAAAGCGUGGGGAGCAAACAGG